rnacentral:rRNA from 1 species
GGCUCAGAUUGAACGCUGGCGGCAGGCCUAACACAUGCAAGUCGAGCGCGAAAGGCCUUCGGGUUGAGUAGAGCGGCGGACGGGUGAGUAACGCGUAGGAAUCUACCUGGUAGUGGGGGACAACUCGGGGAAACUCGAGCUAAUACCGCAUACGCCCUGAGGGGGAAAGCGGGGGAUCUUCGGACUUCGCGCUAUUGGAUGAGCCUGCGUUGGAUUAGCUAGUUGGUGGGGUAAAGGCCUACCAAGGCUGCGAUCCAUAGCUGGUCUGAGAGGAUGAUCAGCCACACCGGGACUGAGACACGGCCCGGACUCCUACGGGAGGCAGCAGUGGGGAAUAUUGCGCAAUGGGGGCAACCCUGACGCAGCCAUGCCGCGUGUGUGAAGAAGGCCUUCGGGUUGUAAAGCACUUUCACUUGGGAAGAAACGCUGUCGGUUAAUACCCGCCAGUUUUGACAUUACCUUGAGAAGAAGCACCGGCUAACUCCGUGCCAGCAGCUGCGGUAAUACGGAGGGUGCGAGCGUUAAUCGGAAUUACUGGGCGUAAAGCGCGCGUAGGCGGUUUGUUAAGUCGGAUGUGAAAGCCCCGGGCUCAACCUGGGAAUUGCACCCGAUACUGGCCGACUGGAGUGCGAGAGAGGGAGGUAGAAUCCCACGUGUAGCGGUGAAAUGCGUAGAUAUGUGGAGGAAUACCGGUGGCGAAGGCGGGCUCCUGGCUCGACACUGACGCUGAGGUGCGAAAGCGUGGGGAGCCAACAGGAUUAGAUACCCUGGUAGUCCAAGCCGUACACGAUGUCGACUAGCCGAUGGGGACCUUGAGUCCUUGGUGGCGCAGUUAACGCGAUAAGUCGACCGCCU